GUCUCUCCGUGGGGCCUUCCCUCCGGGCAACACCUUCCCAUGUGGGACUUCACCCAGGGAAGAGGACUCCACAGCGAGGACCUUCUUCUCUCGGCGCCCGCUGCGGGAGAAGCUGAGCCGUCACUCUGGUGUUGUUGCUGGAGCUGGUUCCUUGUUGACCAUGGACCCCGGGUCUCUGGGCUCCGGCCCAGGUUCCAGCCCGCAUGGCCCAGAUGUACAACGAGUUGAGUCCCUGACCGACACCCUGCCUUCGCCGGUGAUCGAUCACAGCCACUCAGCGACGCUUGUGGCUUCCCAGCUGCAGCCUCAGCCGCGAGCCCUCCAGUCCGGGCUCUGGCUGAAGGCCCUGCACCUCCUCCUGGCCCUGAAAGGGCUCGUCUGCUCCUUCCCGUGGGUCCAGCAGGUGCUGCAGCUCCAGAGAACCCUGUUGAGGAGCUCUGGAUCAGCCACACAGGACCUGCUGGCUCUCCUGGCCUCCAUCGCUCGUGGCUUCACUGAGGCAGCGUUGAUCCUCCACAGGUCUCUCCGUGGGGCCUUCCCUCCGGGCACCACCUUCCCAUGUGGGACUUCACCCAGGGAAGAGGACUCCCCAGAGAGGACCUUCUUCUCUCGGCCCCCGCUGCGGGAGAAGCUGAGCCGUCACUCUGGUGUUGUUGCUGGAGCUGGUUCCUUGUUGACCAUGGACCCCGGGUCUCUGGGCUCCGGCCCAGGUUCCAGCCCGCAUGGCCCAGAUGUACAACGAGUUGAGUCCCUGUCCGACACCCUGCCUUCGCCGGUGAUCGAUCACAGCCACUCAGCGACGCUUGUGGCUUCCCAGCU
ensembl:lncRNA